rnacentral:rRNA from 1 species
AAGUCGUAACAAGGUUUCCGUAGGUGAACCUGCGGAAGGAUCAUUACUGAGAUAGGGUCCUCUUUUGGGCCCGACCUCCAACCCACUGUUUACACAUACUGUUGCCUCGGCGGGCCGCCGUCCCCUGGGGACGGCCGUUGGCUUACGCUCUCGAGCGCCCGCCGGUGGAAUACAUCAAACCCUUUUAAAACUAGCCAUCUGAGUGAAUAUUAAAUACUUCAAAACUUUCAACAACGGAUCUCUUGGUUUUGGCAUCGAUGAAGAACGCAGCGAAAUGCGAUAAGUAAUGUGAAUUGCAGAAUUCAGUGAAUCAUCGAAUCUUUGAACGCACAUUGCGCCCUCUGGUAUUCCGGAGGGCAUGCCUGUUCGAGCGUCAUAUAACGACUAUCAAGCACAGCUUGGCCUUAGGCUUUCGUCCCUGCAACGGGGGCGGGCCUUAAAUACUUUGGCGGUGGCGUCGAGCCUCAAGCGUAGUAAAUAUUCCGCUUUCAGAGGUCUCGUGGUCGCUUGCUUCCAGAACCCCAAACUUCUAAGUAUUGACCUCGGAUCAGGUAGGGAUACCCGCUGAACUUAAGCAUAUCAAUAAGCGGAGGAAAAGAAACCAACUGGGAUUGCCCUAGUAACGGCGAGUGAAGCGGCAAUAGCUCAAAUUUGAAAUCUGGCUCCUUCGGGGCCCGAGUUGUAAUUUGUAGAGGGUGUUCCGGUAUUGGGCCCGUGCUAGGUUCCUUGGAACAGGACGUCAUAGAGGGUGAGAACCCCGUCUUCGCCUGGGAUACCUUUACCGUGUGGAACCCCUUCGACGAGUCGAGUUGUUUGGGAAUGCAGCUCUAAGUGGGAGGUAAAUUUCUUCUAAAGCUAAAUACCGGCCAAAGACCGAUAGCGCACAAGUAGAGUGAUCGAAAGAUGAAAAGCACUUCGGAAAGAGAGUUAAAAAGCACGUGAAAUUGUUGAAAGGGAAGCUCUUGCAGCCAGACUUGGCCGCGGUCGUUCAGCAGCCCUUCUGGGCUGUGUAUUCUUCCGCGGACAGGCCAGCAUCAGUUUCGGGGGCCGGAUAAACGUUAGGGGAAUGUGGCUUCGCUUCGGCGGAGUGUUAUAGCCCUUGGUGUCAUGCGGCCACCCGGGACUGAGGACCGCGCUCU